AGGAUCUGUCUCACCAUACACUGAGAACUGUAGAAUAUGCAAGGCACAUGGAACUUAUUUUCUUACGUAUAAAAGCGUGUAUAUGCUCCUUAUACAUCUGUCCUAAUGCUUUCCAACAGUCCUCACUCUAAGCCUCACCAAGACCCAGAUGAGGAAACAAAGGCACAGAGGGAUAAACUCAGAGCAGGAAGACAGCAAGGAAUAGCAGUGAAAAGCAUGGUGCUUAAUCCAACCCCUUACUCACUGCUGAGACCUGGAAAUGUGUUCAUCAGCUACAAAACAGGAGAGAUGAUAACUCAUUAUGUAUAUGUGAUGAUAAACAGAGACAAUAUAUUGAAGAGCUUAUAUGAGUGGCAGACACGGGACAUGCUUCCCUGUGGCUGGCCAGCGUGUCAUCUUCUCCAUGUGUCCAGAGAAAAGCUUUGCAAAUCAACCUCUCGAUGAAUGAUGACGGCACCAGUGAAAUCAGGGGAGGCAGAAAAUCAUGAACAUUGAGCAGUGCUCGUGCUGGGUGGAUUGUGAUGUGGAAACCCUGGGAGAUGUCACGUCUGACAUCAACUUUCUCCCAGGUGACAGCUGCACCCUCUAAAGGCUUCUCAAAUGACAGAGCUCAAUGAAUAUAGAAGGGAAAAGUAUGAGGAUGACCUAUGAGCACAGGGUGGACAGUCUCUGCGGUGGGCAGGCAUUAGCAAAGGAGAGACCUUCUGUAUUAUGCAGUCUAGAGUGGAAUUUUCCAGAGGCUACAUGAUGAGUGACGUCACGACAGAUUGAGUACAGAGCCAACUAUGAGAAUCCAGCUGCCUUCUAUUAAGGUACCCUUUCUGUGGAUACCUUCAAGUUCCAGCACCAAAUAUGAAGGCGACUGCCAUCACCAGCUCCCACCCCUACAUGAGGUCAAAUCCCUGGAUGGCAUAUAACACACUAGAGCAAUUAAGAGGAUCUAACUAAAGGUGGGGAAGGAAAAAUGUGUGUACAGAGACAGGAAGUCAUGGACACAGUUAUAUUGAAAGAUACAAUGACCU
ensembl:lncRNA